AGAGGAACGACUUAAAACCAAAAAGUGACUUCUGCAUUAAUCCAAAAUUAGACUACGGACACUUUUUAAAUGUGGCACCAGUUAACAGAACGAUGUCAGAGUGAUCACAUGACAUGUGUGCAUGCUUCAUGUUCAGGAAGGAGUCCUGUGAUGAAACACAAAGAGGCUCAAAGCUGCGUGAAGCCGGAUCAGGACCAAACUGAGAGCGGUUCUGUAGAGUCUGCAUGAGUCCUGAUCUCUAAGUGAUUAAUAACUAAUCAAACGUUCCUCACAGUAACGUCUGAUGAACACGAUCCCUUAUGGAGGGAACCAGCAUGCUGAGUCCUCACGUGAUCUGGUCUCCACUAAAGGCUCAAACCUGCAGAGCUGCUGCUGUUCUCACACGUUCUCACCACAACGCUUCCUCUUCACUUCUGAGGAAACAACCACCAGAUGCAAAGAGGAAGAAACUCAUCCUCAGAGCUCCGACACGUCGUCUCUAUGAGCACGACGAGGAAGUGACGCUGUGCAACCAGAGGAAGCAGAAGCUGCAUCUGUGAGGAAGAAGCACUCGGUCAGACGCCUUGAGGAGCAGAGACACCAUGGUGGAACUCAGAGGGACUCAAAGGACUUUAUGUGUGAUGCUGCUGCUGCUUCAGGCUGCAGUAAGAGGACAAACCCCCCCUGUCCCCCGCUUCCUCGUCAGAGCCGGAGAUGACGUCACUUUGCCUUCUAAUCAGGACAGAUGUAACGGAUCUACUUGGCUUCACAGUCGUAGUGAUCCAGCUGUGGAGCUGGUUACACUUGGGAAGAUUAAGAAUAACGCUUUGAUUCCAGAAGCUAAAACCAACAGACUGAGUUUGACAGCAAACUGUUCUCUGGUUAUAAGAAACGUCUCAGGUGAAGGUGUUGGUCGUUACACCAACAGACAUUAUGAUGAAGGAGGAAAACAUCAAGGUCCAGAUGGUGUGGUCUCUCUGUACGUGUUUACAAUGGAGGAAAAGGACUACGGGGGUCUGGUUGUGUUGUCCUGCUUUGUGUUGAGAUUCUCUGAGUGUGAACACACAGUAAAGUGGCAUUAUGACGGCAAACAGACUGAUGUGACGACAUCACACGUUGCUUGUGAAGCCAAUGUGACGUUUAAAGCUCCUCUUCAUCAGAAGUCAAAGUAUUAUAAGUCACUGAGAUGUGAAGUGAGAGACACUCGGAGUGGAAAAACUCUGCUGUUUGAAGCCUGCAGUCAGUUCUCAUGUGAACAAACAGGUACGUUUGUGAAAAGACAUCUGAUGCUGUUUGUUAAUCAGGAAUCAGGAAACAUUUAUUGCCAUAAUAUGUCAGACAUGCAAGGAAUUUGACUUUACAUUUUUGCUUUUAUCCAAAGCUACUUACAUUACAUUUUUAACCCAUGGCGUAUUAUAUUUUUGCCCGGGGAGCAAAUAGGUUGUUAGGUGUGUUGCUCAGGGACACGGGGCAGCUGGGACUCAGACCACCAACCUUGCGGUUCCCAGCACACCCUCUAUUCCUGCACCACGGCGACACUUGGCGGUUGCGUAACAGCAGACAGUACGACAAUGAAGGACAAGACAACAGUGCACGAGGAAUAAGAUCAAAUAUAAUGCUACGGGUUAGUUUAAAAAUAAAGGGAUAAAAGAAAUGUUUAGAAAUGAAAAAUAAAGUGCACCAGCGAACAGAAAGUGACGUGUGCAGUGAGAAAGAAAGCGACCGGUGGGACGACAGAGUCAGUCAGUGGGGGACGGGAAUCUGUUGAUGAGCCCGACUGCCGACGGCAAGUCUAAGUCCUGAUGGACCUCAGCCUCCUGCCAGAUGGGAGGGGCACAAAUAAUGACUUCAUCACGUGUGACUGGAGUCUAGAGAUCUGUAUUCUUACCUCAGUUCUUUCAUAUGUGUCAAUAGUAAGAGGACAAACCCCCCCUGACCCCCGCUUCCUCGUCAGAGCCGGAGAUGACGUCACUUUGCCUUCUAACCAUGUGGAUCAGGACAGAUGUGACGGUUCUACUUGGCUUUACAAUCGUACUGAUUCAUCUGUGGAGCUGGUUACACUUGGGAAGAUUAAUAAUAACGCUUUGAUUCCAGAAGCUAAAAGCAACAAACUGAGUUUGACAGCAAACUGUUCUCUGGUUAUAAGAAGCGUCUCAGGUGAAGAUGUUGGUCGUUACACCAACAGAGAUUUUAAUGAAGCAGGAAAACAACAAGGUCCAGAUGGUGUGGUCUCUCUGUCCAUGUUUACAAUGGAGGAAAAGGACUACGGGGGUCUGGUUGUGUUUUCCUGCUUUGUGUUGAGAUUCUCUGAGUGUGAACACACAGUAGAGUGGCUUUAUGACGGCAAACAGACUGAUGUGAUGAUGUCACACGCUGCUUGUGAAGCCACUGUGACGUUUAAAGCUCCUCUUCAUCAGAAGUCAAAGUAUUAUAAGUCACUGAGAUGUGAAGUGAGAGACAAUCAGAGCGGAAAAACUCUGCUGUUUGAAGCCUGCAGUCAGUUCUCAUCUGAACAAACAGGAGGCCCAUCGGGGGAGGACAACAUUACACCACCUGCACAGAGCGACUCUUCAUCAGUCUGGUGGCCGUGGCUCGUCAUCCCGCUGGUGGGUUUAUUGGUCCUCUUCAUCAUCCUCGUGGUCUUCAUCAGAUGGAGAAAUCAAGGGAAAAGAACACAGACGGACGAAAACAUCGCCGACCCCGAGGAAGGCGUAGCCUACGCCUCCGUCAGCUACACCAGGACGGCCGGCGGAGGAGCCCGGGUGAGCUCUCUGAUUGGCUGCACCGAUGAGGAAGUGUUUGAGCUAAUUGCAUCACCAUGCUAACCACAACCACGAUGCUAACGUGCUCACAAUGCUACAUGCUGGUGCAAAGCAAAUGUAGUUCUGCACACAAAUACAAACACACACACACACACACACACACACACACACACACACAUCAUUCUCGCGGUGGAGAGUUUAGGCAUUGGGCACAAAUUAGAGCUGAGGCUGAUGGGAAGUAUUUAAAUCUAUUUAUCUUUGCUUUACUUUGUGUUCUUUGCUUCGUGGUCUUUGUGUGUGUUUGUUGACGUGUUGAAUCAAGUCGUCAUCAUGUGAUCGUUUCCAGGCUCGAGUCAAAGAUGGCGACGAUGCGGUGACUUACUGCACUGUGAAAGCUCCGCCUCCUGCUUCUUCUUCUGGUGCCGGAGCCUCCGUUGAUCCCAGUGACCUCUACGCGGUCGUCAACAAACCCAACAAAUAAGAGGCUACGUUGAUGAUUGUAAACCAAGUCAAGCUUUCUUCAUCACGUUCACUCACUGCUGAGAUGAAUUGAGCCAUUUAGUAAAAUGUUUAGAGCAUUUUACAUUCAUUGAUGAUUUUAUUUGAAUAACCUGAAUGUUCCCACCAGAUAAAUCAGAUUAUUAUUGGAAAAAGGAGUAAAACAAGACUGAAAAUGUAAAUAUGAUAAUAUUAACACAUAGUUUUGCAUUUAAAGUGCGCAUUUUUGAUUACAUUUUACAUUUUUUACAUUAUGAUCAUUUUGUUAUGAUAGUAUGAUUUAUUCCUUUUGCAAUUGUUGGAUAAAAAAAAGCCUUUCUAUCCAGAACAGGGUGUAGUAAGUUAACGUGUUUUAUAUUUAUUGAUAAUUUUAUUUGAAUAACCUGUUCCCACCAGAUCAAUCAAUGGAGGCAUACUGAGAAUGUAAAUAUGAUAAUAAUGAAACAUAGUUUUGCAUUUAAAGUGAGCAUUUGACCACGUUUUUUUACAUUAUGAUAAUUUUGUUGUGAUAAUUUGUUGUUUGUUGGAUUUGUUGCUUUUGCGAUUGUUCUUCAUGUCCUCAUGAAAUAAACUAGUAACAUAUAGUUUAUCAGGGUUCAUAGUCCAGAUUAAUUGUUUUUUAUUAUAUAUUCCUGUAAUAGUUUCACCUCGUGGAUGUUGAGUUUGCUUUGAACUAAAUAAAAGACAGAAAGGAAGUGCGUUGUGAUCCAGAACCUGUUUGAGCCUCCAGAAACGUCCCGAACACGACAGAGCACAAAGACACCGAGUCCGGGUCUGAAGGUCCAGACGUUCCCC
ensembl:lncRNA